rnacentral:rRNA from 1 species
AGAAAUCCAGCGAGAGGUUCCCCACUCUUCUUUGAUCCGUCUGAGGGCCGAGUGGCAGCCUCGACCCGAGCGGAAGUGCGAUGUGUCUGGAAACUCGGGAUCGUAAAUGGAUUCGGGUACGCUAAGAUUCUAGUUCAAAGAUAG